UGCCAGCGGACGAAAAGUUCCGCAACCCUCGAUCCAAAAUUCACGGGAGCCCUCUUCCCACUUCCCUCGCGAUUGCAUCUCAUAUAACAGAAAAAAAAGGAUUUUUGCUCACGAUCUCCCCGGCGAGAUCCAUCGGCGCCGGUCGCCAUGCGCUCCUCCCGCACGCUACUCCCCGGCUAGGGCACAAGUGCGACGGCGCCGCGCCGGCAGGGCAGCAGCUUGAUGCCACCGCGCAUGCAGGAUUGCAGCUUGACACCUCCGCGCCGCCGCGUCGCCUUGGCCACGGCGAACGGCCCAAUCCGGCCGCGUGGCCACCACAUCCUGCACCGACCGACGAUGCCGCGUCUCCUACCCCGAAUUAGUUACUGGAAACUAUUCAUCCAUUGGGGUUGGUGCUGCUUUGGGUCGGCAGGAUAAUGUGAAGAAGAAGCACUGACAACUUCAUUAUGAGUCAAAGCUUCUGCUACAGUGAUGGUGAAUUGAGUUAUGUUGCUUCUUUUUCUUUCCUGAAGUUGGCAUUCCACACUUGAAGUGGUUUGGCGUGGCGGGGAGAGUACAGUGUGAUGGUGAUUGAUCUUCUUGGAAAAUACUAUAAGAUUUGUUCAACUACUGCCGUACAAGGUUUUCUUUGAAGACUGUGCUCCACUGAUCAGAUGACUAAUGAAUCCGACGACAUGCAUUCAAAGGGAAUUUCUUCAUCGUGAUAUAAAAUAAAACCUAAUAAUGUUCUUAUGGGACUUGGUAGGAAAGCCAAUCAGGUUUGCAUUUAUAUAUAUCUAGGUAUUUGCUAAUAAAUUCUACAAUCUUGACUCCAUCUUGUUUGAAGGCAAAUGUUGUUGAUGUGUUCUGUUACUAAAACACAGUGCCUAAAGACUUAUGGUUUUUGUUCCUGAAACAAGGUCCAAGAACGAGGCUGCAGUACAGAAACAUAAAUUGACUGCUAAAUUACUGCAAUAGCUCCAUCGUGAUUUAUUUGGAUACUUGGUCAGUUGGUCUAUAUACAUUUCACUAAUCAUAUUCACAUGGCACAUGAUUCAUAUUUUUAUUGUAUUUGACGGCUUCAAUUCCUUAAUCUCUAUUUACAUUAAUUUAUCAUAAGACAAAUCUUAAGGUGUUUUCAUGGACUAUUUAACUUUACAUGUCUGUCGAACAUCAAAAUAUGCGGGUGCUAAGAACUGAGUAGGUCAUUAUUAUUUGUGCAUUGUGGUACCAAAGAAGCACUAUACCUUGCUCAUUUCGAAAUGUUGUUUAAUCUGUUAGGCUAACACAGCCUAUUUACAUCGUUGACGUUUUCAUUGAUUUAUGAACCAGCCUUUAUCUAUAUUUGGUAGUUGCAGCCUUGCAAGUAUACCAAGUUGAUAGUGAAUACAUCUUCAAAAUCUGUGCUAAUUGUUCACUUUAUUUGGCAAGUCAUGUGUUAUAGUGCUAGGAACAAAAUCUAAUACUAUAUUUCUGCGCAGGUGGAUGUUCGUAGCAACAUGUGUUUUGGAGGGAUUCAUCAGGCUUGUCCAAAUGACCUUCUCUAUACAAAGGAAUUUUUUUUUGUUCUAAAAUUGCGUUGUAAUGUCAUAUUUAGUCUUUUUCUUAUAUACUGUGUUAGACUAAAAUCUUUUGGCGAUGAUGCUUCCGA